ACGCUAGCUACAGGCUUAACACAUGCAAGUCGAGGGGCAUCAGGAAGAAAGCUUGCUUUCUUUGCUGGCGACCGGCGCACGGGUGAGUAACACGUAUCCAACCUGCCCUUUACUCGGGGAUAGCCUUUCGAAAGAAAGAUUAAUACCCGAUGGCAUAAUGAUUCCGCAUGGUUUCAUUAUUAAAGGAUUCCGGUAAAGGAUGGGGAUGCGUUCCAUUAGGUUGUUGGUGAGGUAACGGCUCACCAAGCCUUCGAUGGAUAGGGGUUCUGAGAGGAAGGUCCCCCACAUUGGAACUGAGACACGGUCCAAACUCCUACGGGAGGCAGCAGUGAGGAAUAUUGGUCAAUGGGCGCUAGCCUGAACCAGCCAAGUAGCGUGAAGGAUGAAGGCUCUAUGGGUCGUAAACUUCUUUUAUAUAAGAAUAAAGUGCAGUAUGUAUACUGUUUUGUAUGUAUUAUAUGAAUAAGGAUCGGCUAACUCCGUGCCAGCAGCCGCGGUAAUACGGAGGAUCCGAGCGUUAUCCGGAUUUAUUGGGUUUAAAGGGAGCGUAGGUGGACUGGUAAGUCAGUUGUGAAAGUUUGCGGCUCAACCGUAAAAUUGCAGUUGAUACUGUCAGUCUUGAGUACAGUAGAGGUGGGCGGAAUUCGUGGUGUAGCGGUGAAAUGCUUAGAUAUCACGAAGAACUCCGAUUGCGAAGGCAGCUCACUGGACUGCAACUGACACUGAUGCUCGAAAGUGUGGGUAUCAAACAGGAUUAGAUACCCUGGUAGUCCACACAGUAAACGAUGAAUACUCGCUGUUUGCGAUAUACAGUAAGCGGCCAAGCGAAAGCAUUAAGUAUUCCACCUGGGGAGUACGCCGGCAACGGUGAAACUCAAAGGAAUUGACGGGGGCCCGCACAAGCGGAGGAACAUGUGGUUUAAUUCGAUGAUACGCGAGGAACCUUACCCGGGCUUAAAUUGCAGUGGAAUGAUGUGGAAACAUGUCAGUGAGCAAUCACCGCUGUGAAGGUGCUGCAUGGUUGUCGUCAGCUCGUGCCGUGAGGUGUCGGCUUAAGUGCCAUAACGAGCGCAACCCUUAUCUUUAGUUACUAACAGGUUAUGCUGAGGACUCUAGAGAGACUGCCGUCGUAAGAUGUGAGGAAGGUGGGGAUGACGUCAAAUCAGCACGGCCCUUACGUCCGGGGCUACACACGUGUUACAAUGGGGGGUACAGAAGGCAGCUAGCGGGUGACCGUAUGCUAAUCCCAAAAUCCUCUCUCAGUUCGGAUCGAAGUCUGCAACCCGACUUCGUGAAGCUGGAUUCGCUAGUAAUCGCGCAUCAGCCACGGCGCGGUGAAUACGUUCCCGGGCCUUGUACACACCGCCCGUCAAGCCAUGGGAGCCGGGGGUACCUGAAGUACGUAACCGCAAGGAUCGUCCUAGGGUAAAACUGGUA
rnacentral:rRNA from 1 species